rnacentral:pre_miRNA from 1 species
UGAGGGGGAUGUUGUCUGGCUCGAGGACUCUAGCUCGCUCUAUUCAUGUUUUGGGUCUUUUUCGAUCUAAUAUUUGAACCUCCAGAUUUUCAGAUCUGAUUUAGGGUUUUAGCGUCGUCGGACCAGGCUUCAUUCCCUCCA